rnacentral:lncRNA from 1 species
CUCUCUCUCUCUCUUCUCUCUCUACACGCUCUCUCUCUCUCUCUCAUUCCUCCCCCCACCACCAGCGCUCUCGCUCUCUCUCUCUGCCUCAAUCAAAAUCUGAUCGUACUUCACAAUCGGCCAGAACUCAUCUUCACCGCCGCCGUCAUCUCCCUCCCCACCGGAGCCGCCGCCUCCUAGAGGAAACCGCCCAUUCCCACCAUCUCCAUCGCCACUGUCGUCUAGUUUCGUUUACUCAAAAUCCUCUGGCAGACUAACCUUCUCCGUCGCGGCGUCCGGCGCGGCGUAUUGUAUCUGGAACGG